UACAGAGGUCUCAAGCGUUGUUCGGAUUCAUUGGGCGUAAAGGGUGUGUAGGUGGCGCCGUAAGUCGGGUGUGAAAUUUCGGAGCUUAACUCCGAAACUGCAUUCGAUACUGGCGUGCUUGAGGACUGGAGAGGAGACUGGAAUUUACGGUGUAGCAGUGAAAUGCGUAGAUAUCGUAAGGAAGACCAGUGGCGAAGGCGGGUCUCUGGACAGUAACUGACGCUGAGGAGCGAAAGCGUGGGUAGCAAACAGG
rnacentral:rRNA from 1 species